CCAGACCAGACAUUGCAGGCAUUUAUCUUUAGCAGAGCUAAGGGUUAAAUACAAGGGAUUGCAACUGGUCAUAUUUCAACAGAAGCAAGACGUGCAGCACAAAAUGAAGACAUCUGCGUUACUUCUGGUGGUCUUUGUGGCCUUUCUUACCGUAACUGUAGAAAGUGCAGUGACUGAAAGGUUCUCACCAAACAUAGAAGAUGGUGCCAUGUUUCGGAGGCCACUGAAGCGUGUACGUAGAGACUGCUGCUAUAGACCCCCAUACUGGCCAAUUUGUUGCCCUUAUUUUUAGAGAAAUCUUUCAUCCAGUUUGCUUGCACAUCCACGAGUUAUUUGGAUGCAGCUGCUAGCACAUUUUGAAGAGGAACAAUAUGCAGUACUUUGCAAAGACUCAUUUUUCACUAUUACACAGGGAUAUUCCUGGGAACAAGCUUAACUUAAAUUCAUUUGUAUUCAGUCAUAGUUUUCAUCUUUCACUUUACUGCAUUUCACUUUAUUGCAAUACCAUAUGCUAUAUAGCUAUUUCAGAAUAAGGCCAACAUCUUUGGGAUAGUUAGAAAACAAGAAACUAGUUAUACUGUUUUACUUGCUUAAAAAGUAAAAUAAAAUCUAACUGCUUAAAAA